UUAAGUGUAAAGAAUAAGGGAGUUAACGCCAAAAAUAAAUGAACAAAAAUGCCGUCAUGUCUGGCAGCUCAGGUGGCAAAUCUUCCAAAAGACUAUAUGAUAACCCUCAAAUAUGUCCCCGGGAUGGAUGUUUUGCCAAGUCAUUGUUGGAUAAGCGAGAUGGUAGUACAAUUGUCAGACAGCUUGACUGAUCUUCUGGACAAGUUUUCAAAUAUUUCUGAAGGCUUGAGUAAUUAUUCCAUCAUAGACAAACUUGUGAAUAUAGUGGAUGACCUUGUGGAGUGCGUGAAAGAAAACUCAUCUAAGGAUCUAAAAAAAUCAUUCAAGAGCCCAGAACCCAGGCUCUUUACUCCUGAAGAAUUCUUUAGAAUUUUUAAUAGAUCCAUUGAUGCCUUCAAGGACUUUGUAGUGGCAUCUGAAACUAGUGAUUGUGUGGUUUCUUCAACAUUAAGUCCUGAGAAAGAUUCCAGAGUCAGUGUCACAAAACCAUUUAUGUUACCCCCUGUUGCAGCCAGCUCCCUUAGGAAUGACAGCAGUAGCAGUAAUAGGAAGGCCAAAAAUCCCCCUGGAGACUCCAGCCUACACUGGGCAGCCAUGGCAUUGCCAGCAUUGUUUUCUCUUAUAAUUGGCUUUGCUUUUGGAGCCUUAUACUGGAAGAAGAGACAGCCAAGUCUUACAAGGGCAGUUGAAAAUAUACAAAUUAAUGAAGAGGAUAAUGAGAUAAGUAUGUUGCAAGAGAAAGAGAGAGAGUUUCAAGAAGUGUAAUUGUGGCUUGUAUCAACACUGUUACUUUCGUACAUUGGCUGGUAACAGUUCAUGUUUGCUUCAUAAAUGAAGCAGCUUUAAACAAAUUCAUAUUCUGUCUGGAGUGACAGACCACAUCUUUAUCUGUUCUUGCUACCCAUGACUUUAUAUGGAUGAUUCAGAAAUUGGAACAGAAUGUUUUACUGUGAAACUGGCACUGAAUUAAUCAUCUAUAAAGAAGAACUUGCAUGGAGCAGGACUCUAUUUUAAGGACUGCGGGACUUGGGUCUCAUUUAGAACUUGCAGCUGAUGUUGGAAGAGAAAGCACGUGUCUCAGACUGCAUGUACCAUUUGCAUGGCUCCAGAAAUGUCUAAAUGCUGAAAAAACACCUAGCUUUAUUCUUCAGAUACAAACUGCAGCCUGUAGUUAUCCUGGUCUCUGCAAGUAGAUUUCAGCUUGGAUAGUGAGGGUAACAAUUUUUCUCAAAGGGAUCUAGAAAAAAUGUUUAAAACUCAGUAGUGUCAGCCACUGUACAGUGUAGAAAGCAGUGGGAACUGUGAUUGGAUUUGGCAACAUGUCAGCUUUAUAGUUGCCGAUUAGUGAUAUGGGUCUGAUUUCGAUCUCUUCCUGAUGUAAACCAUGCUCACCCAUAUCCCACUAUACAAAUGCAAAUGGUUGCCUGGUUCCAUUUAUGCAAGGGAGCCAGUACUGAAUUAUGCCUUGGCAGAGGGGAGACUCCAAAAGAGUCAUCGCAGGAAGAAGUUAAGAACACCGAACAUCAGAACAGUCUGCCAAGAAGGACAUUGGCAUCCUGGGAAAGUCCGCCUUUUCCCUUGACCACUAUAGGGUGUAUAAAUCGUGUUUGCAAAAUGUGUUAUGAUGUGUUUAUAUUCUAAAACUAUUACAGAGCUAUGUAAAGGGACUUAGGAGAAAAUGCUGAAUGUAAGAUGGUCCCAUUUCAAUUUCCGCCAUGGGAGAGCCUAAAAAUAAAUUAUGACAUUUAGUAUCUAAGGUUAGAAAACCACGCCCACAUGCUAAUAUGGGUGUUGAAAACUAGGUUACUUGGAAUGCAAGGAAUCAGGAAACUUUAGUUAUUUAUAGUAUAAUCACCAUUAUCUAUUUAAAGGAUCCAUUUAGUUAAAAUCGGGCACUCUAUAUUCAUUAAGGUUUAUGAAUUAAAAAUAAAAAGAAAGCUUUAUGUAGUUAUGCAUGUCAGUUUGCUAUUUAAAAUGUGUGACAGUGUUUGUCAUAUUAAGAGUGAAUUUGGCAGGAAUUCCCAAGAUGGACAUUGUGCUUUUAAACUAGAACUUGUAAGACAUUAUGUGAAUAUCCCUUGCCAAUUUUUUUUAUAAUCAAGAAAACAUCUGACUAAAGUCAAAGAAUGAUUUCUUAUGGUUUAUUUUGAUGAAAGUUCUUUUAACAUGUCUUGAAUGUACACAUAAAGGAAUCCAAAGCUUUCCAUUCUAACUUAAUCUUUGUGAUAACGUUAUUGCCAUGUUCUACAACCGUAAGAUAACAGUUUUCAAUGUAGUGACACAAAAGGGCAUGAAAAACUAACUGCUAGCUUUCCUUUCAUUUCAAAAGUCCAAGAAUUUCUAGUAUAUUUGGAUUUUAGCUUCUGUUCAAAGCAAAUCCAGAUGCAACUCCAGUAAGUGGCCUUUGCUCUUUUUUGUACCAAAGAGCCCAGAUGAUUCCUACAGUCCCUUUCUUCUCUAACAUGCUGUGGUUCCUUAAAUAUGAGUAAUUUCUCUAAGAUAUAACCCAGGUGCUUUGAGAAGCUGCAUUAAGGUGUUCAGGCCCUCAGAUAUCACAUGGUACACUUGAUGAGUAAUAAAACCAGAGAUCAAUUUAAAUUGCUGAUAGGUCCUGUCUCAGUGUGUGGCAUUGACUGUUUUCAGGAAAAUAGAUACAGAUUAAUAUGAGUUAUGCGUGUAGGUUGUGUAUAGAUUGAGAAGAUAGAUACUUCUCAAUCUAGUAGUUUGAUUUAUUUAACCAAUGGUUUCAGUUUGCUUGAGCAUAUGAAAAUCCUGCUUAAUGUGCUUAAGAGUAUAAUAAAUGUGUACUUUUGUCCUCAAACCUAGUAGCUGGGUUUUAACACUCAUGGACAUGGUCUUAAUCAAUAGAGUUAAAUAAACAAAUUCAGCAAGUUAUUAAAUCUGACAUGGUAGGAGAGGGGAGAUGUGUCCUGCUUAUUAAAUGUGUUGGUCCAUUGAAAGUUACAUGGAUUGCCAAUUUUUAAAACACUAAAGUUGAAUAAAAUGCAUGAACAAUAGAAAAAUGCUGAACAUUAUUUUGGAUGCUAGCUGCUUGGACAUUAACUGUGUCAUUUCUGCUUUGAGAUGAAAAUAUAUAUUUAUCUUUGCUUAUUUUAUCCCAGAUGUGUUCUGAAUAUCCUUCUUCAUAAAUCGUGGAAAACUCACUGCUGAGAUAGUAAACCAGGAAAUCGCCUUUUCAGUUGGUGCCAUGUAUCUGACAGUUCCAUCUUGGAAAGUUUCAAAAUUACCUUUUAAAAUGAUCUCAGAAGUCUGUAGAUUCUCAAUGAUACUGAAAGCUUCGCACCUCUUUGGUAGAAACCAGGUCUAUUUAGAAAAUGGCUUUAUGAUAAAUGUUGCCUCCUGAGCGAUAAUGAAGUGUUCCUGGAUAUUGUAUUGUAAUUUAAUGUGCUUACCACACUGCCACAUUUUAAUGAGUCAGAGAAAAAUUGAUUUUUCUUCAAUACAAUAAUAGAACAAGUAGCCUAUUCUCCUAAAAAGUAUGUGAAAAGAAAAUUAUGAAAAAUUAUGCAUACCUAAUGAAGUAUUGGUUUUAGUAAGAAUUAAAUACAUUUCAUUGAGCUUUAAAGUACUUUGGAGAAACCUUGGGGCACGUUUUCCUACUCUAAUUCAACUAAAGUUAUAAAUAAAGAGAAAAACUCAUUCAGAAAUCAUGGAUUUUAAAAAUAUUUUACUGCAGCCAAGUUUUCAUUUCAAAAUGUAAUUCCAGUUUGGAGCUUUUAGGCAUUAUGUAUAUUUUAAAAAUAUAUUCUUCAAAAAUGCAUUUUGGCAUGGUGGGAUGGAUGUUGCAAAAGAUAUCCGGAGCCUCCAGUCUGUCAUUAACUGAUAUGGUAAAUCACUUCUCCUCUUUGGGUCUCAAUUUUUUAUUUAUCUAUAUGGUAAACUCAGAGAUCACUCCUUAGGGGUGAGUCCUAUUGCAAUAUGACCGACAAAGAAGACAAAAUAGCAUUGAAACUAACCCAUACAAAAUAUCCAACUCUGGAUUCUGUGAAUAAGUAUCUUGACCAUAAAAAGUCAUUGCUGUUCUUGUUUCUAAUGUAAAUAGUGUCCAUUAGUAAAAGUGAAAUUCAGUCUUAAGUAGGGUGAAUUGGAUCACCAUUUACACAAGAGAUGGCUUUUUCCUUUGCUUGAAUAAACAUUUUGGAUCACCUCCAAAGAAUGAAAACCAGUAGUACGUUUUAGUCAUAUUAGUCAGGAUGAGAAACUAUAAGAUGUGUGUAACAUUUGGAAAUGCACCAAAGUGGGCGUUUAAAUCUUCUCAUUUUAUUGAAAACUAAGAGCAGAAAAUGUAAAAUGCUCAUGAAGGUUUUGAAUGCCAAAAGAUAUUUUAGAAUCAAUUUAUAAAGGGGUAAUUCAUUAAUUACACUUUAAAAUUGGAAAGUGGGAUAAGAAAUCUAAAGUAAACCAGCUUAUCUUUGAAACAAUAUUAUUUUGAAAUUGGCUUUAAAAUAAAACCAUUCAGAUUGAAAUUCUAAUUAGUUCAUUUGUGGAAUUUGAUCACACAAUUCAUAAUGUUGCUGCUUUCCAUUAACUAGUCUUGAAAUGCCUUUGUUUGUAAAAAUAAAAUAAUGGUACUUUCAUUUUAUAACAAGGUGUUUUUUUCAAGAAAUAAUCCAUGCUAAAAUGGAUAUUUGUGAUCCUGAAAUGUUUACUAAGCAUUGUAAAUUUAUUUAUAACUGCCAUCUCCAACUACAUCCUUAUGAUGUUUUUAACAAUAAAAUUAAAACAACUGUUAAACUAAAAACCACACCAUUUUCCAGUACUUGAUCUCUGAGCUACAAUACUCACUAAAUAUAAUUUUCCAAUCAAAAUAUUCUAUUCUAUAUUCUAAGGGUUAAUAUGUGAUUAUAGUGUCCACUUGCCACCAUUUUUUUAAAUCAAUGGACUUGAAAAGUAUUAAUUUAGAUAGAUGCGCAGAUAUACCCUUAGUUCAGUCAUAGAUUGGAGUUCGCAUAUAAUAAUGUAAAUGUAUGUCAACACUAUUCUAAAUAGUUCUAUUAUGACUGAAAUUUAAUUAAAUAAAAAAGGUUGUAAAAUGUGAUGUGUAUGUGUAUAUACUGUAUGUGUACUUUUUAAAAUAGGUGUAUGUCCCAACCCUUUUUUAUACAGGUUUGAAUUUAAAAUUACAUUAUAUAUACAUAUACUUUAUUGUUCUAAAUAAAGAAUUUUAUGCACUCUCA
rnacentral:sRNA from 1 species